rnacentral:rRNA from 1 species
UAGGGAAUCUUCGGCAAUGGGGGCAACCCUGACCGAGCAACGCCGCGUGAGUGAAGAAGGUUUUCGGAUCGUAAAGCUCUGUUGUAAGAGAAGAACGAGUGUGAGAGUGGAAAGUUCACACUGUGACGGUAACUUACCAGAAAGGGACGGCUAACUACGUGCCAGCAGCCGCGGUAAUACGUAGGUCCCGAGCGUUAUCCGGAUUUAUUGGGCGUAAAGCGAGCGCAGGCGGUUAGAUAAGUCUGAAGUUAAAGGCUGUGGCUUAACCAUAGUACGCUUUGGAAACUGUUUAACUUGAGUGCAGAAGGGGAGAGUGGAAUUCCAUGUGUAGCGGUGAAAUGCGUAGAUAUAUGGAGGAACACCGGUGGCGAAAGCGGCUCUCUGGUCUGUAACUGACGCUGAGGCUCGAAAGCGUGGGGAGCGAACAGGAUUAGAUACCCUGGUAGUCCACGCCGUAACGAUGAGUGCUAGGUGUUGGAUCCUUUCCGGGAUUCAGUGCCGCAGCUAACGCAUUAAGCACUCCGCCUGGGGAGUACGACCGCAAGGUU